UGUUGUUAUUUGUUUAGCCUUAUUUAGUUUAUUCAGUUAUCAAAUCGAUUUAAUUACUUUUUUCCUUUUACGCAUUUUUCUUCAGCUUUUAGUUUUAUUAUUGUUAUUAUUAUUUUAAUUCUAUUUAUUUCAGCAGCAAAGUGGAUUCCCUGCAGGGAUAUUGUCAACAUCUUAUCAGCCAACCAAAAUAAAUAUUCACUUUUAUAUAUGAAAAUACGUACACACAUACAUGCAUACAUACAUACAUAUUUUUAAAUACUUUUACAUGCAUUUAAUGGAAAAUCGCAGCUACCUAUUAAGUGCUUUUACAAAGAAAUUACUAAAAAAUUAUCUCCAUUUAUAUAAUGACAACAACAACAACGACACAUUAAGUGUUUACCCAUGAUAGCCGGUAGUCAGUCAGGCAUGCUGUGAAUGAAGAACGCGUGCAACUAAAAAAUUAAUUAAAUAAAGGCAUAUAUAGAUAUUACAAACGUAGACUAUAUAUUUAGCCUAAAAAUAUAUCUCCUAAUCAUGCUAAUAAGUUUUGAAAUGCUGUGCUGACCUCUGCGGCAAGUCAUUGUGCCAAAAACAAAAUUGUUUCCGCUUUUAUUAAACACCUUAAUGGUGACUAAGCGAUUGGGAAAAACGUAAUAAAAAGAAGAAACUGAAAAUAAAUCACAGAUAAAUCCACCGAGUCGUAUCUUGGAAUCCGUACAUUUGACAAGCUCCUGUCCACUUGGCUGCGGGAAUUCUUCAGACACAAUUGUAUGCAUAAAUACCGGCUAUUAGCAUUAAACCAACGUAUUGAUACACAAAUUUAUGUAUGAAUGUAUAUACAUACAUAAGUCCUGUUUUUUUUUUUGCUCAUUUAUAUACACACCUAUACGCAUUUGUGUAAACGUAUUUGCUUCCACAAUAAUCAAAUACAAUUAUCUCAGCCGCUUUGGUGAGUGAAUGAGAUACCACAGA